rnacentral:rRNA from 1 species
CUGAAUUAUUCACCCUUGUCUUUUGCGUACUUCUUGUUUCCUUGGUGGGUUCGCCCACCACUAGGACAAACAUAAACCUUUUGUAAUUGCAAUCAGCGUCAGUAACAAAUUAAUAAUUACAACUUUCAACAACGGAUCUCUUGGUUCUGGCAUCGAUGAAGAACGCAGCGAAAUGCGAUAAGUAGUGUGAAUUGCAGAAUUCAGUGAAUCAUCGAAUCUUUGAACGCACAUUGCGCCCUUUGGUAUUCCAAAGGGCAUGCCUGUUCGAGCGUCAUUUGUACCCUCAAGCUUUGCUUGGUGUUGGGCGUCUUGUCUCUAGCUUUGCUGGAGACUCGCCUUAAAGUAAUUGGCAGCCGGCCUACUGGUUUCGGAGCGCAGCACAAGUCGCACUCUCUAUCAGCAAAGGUCUAGCAUCCAUUAAGCCUUUUUUCAACUUUUGACCUCGGAUCAGGUAGGGAUACCCGCUGAACUUAAGCAUA